rnacentral:tRNA from 1 species
GCGCUUGUAGCUCAACUGGAUAGAGCGCCUGACUUCGGAUCAGGAGGUUGUGGGUUCGACUCCUACCAGGCGCACCA